rnacentral:rRNA from 1 species
UACGUAGGGAGCAAGCGUUGUCCGGAAUCAUUGGGCGUAAAGCGCGCGUAGGUGGCUUCGUAAGUCCGUUGUGAAAGUCAAAGGCUCAACCUUUGAAAGCCGAUGGAUACUGUGAAGCUAGAGUACGGAAGAGGCGAGUGGAAUUCCUGGUGUAGCGGUGGAAUGCGCAGAUAUCAGGAGGAACACCAGCGGCGAAGGCGGCGCUCUGGGCCGGAACUGACGCUGAGGAGCGAAAGCGUGGGUAGCAAACAGG